rnacentral:tRNA from 1 species
GCGGACGUGGCGGAACAGUAGACGCUUCGGCCCGAGAUGCCGAUGAGCGCAAGCUCGUGAGGGUGCGAUUCCCUCCGCCCGCACCA